UCUCCCUCCGCCGCCCGAGCACCAGCCGCGCUCUGAGCUGCCCCCGGGGUCCCUCCCCCGCCGCCAGAGGAGCAGCUGCCGCCGCCGCCGCCGCCAGCAGCGAAUUGGGAGGGAAGAGAGAACGAGAGGAGGAAGGAAGGGAGCCAGAGCGACUAACCCGAGGGAGCCGGUGAAUGGGCUGGUGGUGACCCCCGCUCCCCACCCCACCCUCCCUUCCCACCCGACCCCCAACCCCCAUCCCCAGUUAGAGCCGCCGCCCCAGAGGCCGGACCCGUCGUCUUAGGAAAGAGUAGCCGCUGCCACCUCCGCCAUGGAGCUGAUCACCAUCCUCGAGAAGACCGUGUCUCCGGAUCGGCUGGAACUGGAAGCGGCGCAGAAGUUCCUGGAGCGUGCGGCCGUGGAGAACCUGCCCACGUUCCUUGUGGAACUGUCCAGAGUGCUAGCAAAUCCAGGAAACAGUCAAGUUGCCAGAGUUGCAGCAGGUCUACAAAUCAAGAAUUCUUUGACAUCGAAAGAUCCAGAUAUCAAGGCACAAUAUCAGCAGAGGUGGCUAGCAAUUGAUGCGAAUGCUCGACGGGAAGUCAAGAAUUAUGUUUUGCAGACUUUGGGCACAGAAACCUACCGGCCUAGCUCAGCCUCGCAGUGUGUGGCUGGCAUUGCUUGUGCGGAGAUCCCCGUGAACCAGUGGCCAGAACUCAUUCCUCAGCUGGUGGCCAAUGUCACAAAUCCCAACAGCACAGAGCACAUGAAAGAGUCAACAUUGGAAGCUAUUGGUUACAUUUGCCAAGAUAUUGACCCAGAGCAGCUACAAGAUAAAUCCAAUGAGAUUCUGACUGCCAUAAUUCAGGGGAUGCGGAAAGAAGAGCCUAGUAAUAAUGUGAAGCUAGCAGCUACUAAUGCACUGCUGAACUCAUUGGAGUUCACCAAAGCCAACUUUGACAAAGAGUCCGAAAGGCACUUUAUUAUGCAGGUGGUUUGUGAAGCCACACAGUGUCCAGAUACGAGGGUUCGAGUGGCUGCCUUACAGAAUCUGGUGAAAAUAAUGUCCUUGUAUUAUCAGUACAUGGAGACAUAUAUGGGUCCUGCUCUUUUUGCAAUCACAAUUGAAGCAAUGAAAAGCGAUAUUGAUGAAGUGGCCCUGCAAGGGAUAGAAUUCUGGUCCAAUGUGUGUGAUGAGGAAAUGGAUUUGGCCAUUGAGGCUUCAGAGGCAGCAGAACAAGGACGGCCCCCUGAGCACACCAGCAAGUUUUAUGCCAAGGGAGCACUACAGUACCUGGUUCCGAUCCUCACACAGACACUAACUAAACAGGAUGAAAAUGAUGAUGAUGAUGACUGGAAUCCCUGCAAAGCAGCCGGAGUGUGCAUCAUGCUUCUGGCCACCUGCUGUGAAGAUGACAUUGUCCCUCAUGUCCUCCCCUUCAUUAAAGAACACAUCAAGAACCCUGAUUGGCGGUACCGGGAUGCAGCAGUGAUGGCUUUUGGCUGUAUUUUGGAAGGACCAGAGCCCAAUCAGCUCAAACCACUAGUUAUACAGGCUAUGCCCACGCUAAUAGAAUUAAUGAAAGACCCCAGUGUAGUUGUUCGAGAUACAACUGCAUGGACUGUGGGCAGAAUUUGUGAACUGCUCCCUGAAGCUGCCAUCAAUGAUGUCUACUUGACUCCCCUGCUGCAGUGUCUGAUUGAGGGCCUCAGUGCUGAACCUAGAGUGGCUUCAAAUGUGUGCUGGGCUUUCUCUAGCCUGGCGGAAGCUGCUUAUGAAGCUGCAGAUGUAGCCGAUGAUCAGGAAGAACCAGCUACCUAUUGCUUGUCUUCUUCUUUUGAACUCAUAGUUCAGAAGCUCCUGGAGACCACAGACAGACCUGAUGGACACCAGAACAAUCUGAGGAGUUCUGCAUAUGAAUCUCUGAUGGAAAUUGUGAAAAACAGUGCCAAGGAUUGUUACCCUGCAGUUCAGAAAACUACUUUAGUCAUCAUGGAGCGACUUCAACAAGUACUUCAGAUGGAGUCACAUAUCCAGAGCACAUCGGACAGGAUCCAGUUCAAUGACCUUCAGUCUUUACUCUGUGCAACUCUUCAGAAUGUUCUCCGGAAAGUGCAACAUCAAGAUGCUUUGCAGAUCUCUGAUGUCGUCAUGGCUUCCCUGUUAAGAAUGUUCCAAAGCACGGCUGGGUCAGGGGGAGUUCAAGAGGAUGCUCUAAUGGCAGUUAGCACACUAGUGGAAGUGUUGGGCGGCGAGUUCCUGAAGUACAUGGAGGCCUUCAAACCCUUCCUGGGCAUUGGGCUCAAGAACUACGCCGAGUACCAGGUCUGCUUGGCAGCGGUGGGCUUAGUGGGAGACCUGUGCCGCGCACUGCAGUCCAGCAUCCUGCCUUUCUGCGACGAGGUGAUGCAGCUGCUGCUGGAGAACUUGGGGAAUGAAAAUGUCCACAGGUCUGUGAAGCCACAGAUUCUGUCCGUGUUUGGUGAUAUUGCCCUUGCUAUUGGUGGAGAGUUUAAGAAAUACCUAGAGGUUGUAUUGAAUACUCUUCAACAGGCUUCCCAAGCCCAGGUGGACAAGUCAGACUAUGACAUGGUGGAUUAUCUGAAUGAACUAAGGGAAAGCUGCUUGGAGGCCUAUACCGGAAUUGUCCAGGGAUUAAAGGGAGACCAGGAGAACGUACACCGGACUUAUGUACAGCAUUUGGGAAGGAUGUCCUGAAAUUAGUAGAAGCUAGGCCAAUGAUCCAUGAACUGUUAACUGAAGGACGGAGAUCGAAGACUAACAAAGCAAAAACCCUUGCUACAUGGGCAACAAAAGAACUGAGGAAACUGAAGAACCAAGCUUGAUCUUGUUACCAUUGGGAUGAUAACCUGAGACCCCCACUGGAAAUCUCCAAUCUUUUGAAAAACCCGGAAGUGAGGAGUGUGCACGGAUGCUGAGUGUUUGGGAAUGAGAGCAUGAGUGAGUGAGGCUUGAAAACACACCACAUUGAAAAUCCUGCCACAGCAGCAGCCGCAGCCACCAACAGCAGUGCUGUUAGUGAGCUAAGCAAGCACUGACUUCGUAGAAAACCAUAACGGCGGCCAUCUGGGAAGAGAGAAAAACUGAUGGAUUUACUUACUUACGAAAGAAAGCUGUCUCUUCCCAGCAGAGGCUAGAACUAGCUUUUCUGUCUUUUGGCCGGUGUUGAGUGAGUGGAAUGACUAGUUUGCGAGAGGAGGGGGAGGAGGAGGAACUGGGUUCAGCUGUGGUGCUUUGUUGUAAAAGGCAGCCUGGCCUUUGCUACUGAUAAGAAAGAUGGAGCCUGGGUCUCGAGCCCACCUUUGGUGUACCUUUGCCAUACGGUACUGUAUGUGUGCCGGCUAAAAGGAGGGUGAGGGAUUCUUACAGUCUGAGAAUGAGUGUGUGUGAAUGAGGCGGUAUCCACAUUCUCAACUUCAAGUCAUUGCAGUUUCUUUUUCCCAGAAAAAAAGGGGUUAGACAUUGCAUUUCAUAAAACUAACAGAAGUUCUGUCUACUGAUGCAGCACAAGAGAUGUAAAAAAAAGGGGGGGGGAAGCUCUUUAGGUUUCAUUUUUUGUUUUGUUUUUUAAUUAUCUUCUAGGGAAAACACUGACGAAUGUUCAGAGCUCCCAUUCUGAUCUAUCUCAUCAAGGCUCCUUUCCUAAUAAUAUGGUUCAACUGUGAAUGUAGAAUUGGGGGGAGGGGGGAGAAAAUGAAAACUCUGGAGUUAGAUGAUAUAGAAAAAAAUAAAAAUGCAAUUGUUACAAAUAAAGAAUGCAGACUUCAAAAACAAAAGAAAGCCACAGCCCCCCAAAAAAACAAAAUUUAAAUGCUCAGAUUGGCAGCAGAAAGAAACAUUCUCUUCUGAUGUGUAUCAAGGCAGUCUGAACGCCCCCAGAAAAUUGUGCCAAAGAGUUUAGAAAACACAUACAAUAAAGUAAACACACACACACACACAUACAGCAAACUUCAGGUAACUAUUUUGGAUUGCAAACAAGGAUAAAUUUAAUGUUCAAACAAUCUGAUAAAAUAACCAUUUGGAAACUGCUUGGCCUUCUGUUCUCUUAUUUGAUUGACUGCAAUGCGAUAUUGGUCUCUUGCUGCACUUCAAAACCAACUAUCCAACAACAAAAGAAUAUACAAGUAUAUAUACACAUAUACUUAGACUAGAACUCUUGUGAUGAAAGUGGCACUUGAAAAAGGUUAUAUUUUUCCACUGAAGUUGAAGAUUAAUAAAAUGGUGUCAAACAUUCCCCUGGUCACACGCUUUAAUAUUUUUUUAAAGUGUGAUGUGCUGUGAUAACCAUAAAUCAGACUUAAUUAUGUUCCCUUUACACAGGGAACAGGGCACCCUGAAUUUGGGUUUUAGAAUCUUUCAGCAAUAAGGGAUGUGGGUGAGCUUUGAUCCUCUUCUGGUUUUGCAGUUAUUAGAGGAGUUUUUGCUGGCGUUUUGAAUAUGCUGCUUUCAAAAACACCCAAGGGAGAUUUUUUUAAUGCUUCCUGGUAUUUGGAGGAUUGAAAAACAAGACCUUAAAAUUCCCAUUUUCAUUUUCAUUCUAGCAAAAAAAUAGGGGCUUAUGUAUUUCUCUGCCAUUUCCCCCUCCCUGUCCAAGCCUUCCAUUCAUGUGUGGGUUUGGCUCGCUUUUGCCCAUCCAUAUGGCAGCAUCUCUAAUAGCUCUUGUACAGGGUAUCAGAUAUUGUGCCUUUUGGUGCCAGGUUCAAAGUCAAGUGCCGAUCUAUGAACCAGUGUACAAAAAUGAAUCCAGGUAUUUGAAGAAAAGACGCUCCAUUGUGAAUAGAGUGCACCAGCUCUUAAGCCCUAAGAAGAGACCUGGCCCUCUAAUGCCUUGUGUAAAUUUUAGUUCCUUGAGGGAGAGGGUAUACUAACCAUUCCUGGUAGACAGGGUUUGGUCAAGGCUUAGGGAUGCGGCAGGAAUAUUGGGGAGAAAAAAUGAUCAUUCCUCAGUGCUACCCAUUUCUGUCCUGUGUGGGCUGCUUAGCUAGACAGCAGGAGAAUAAAGUACACCAAGAACCAUAAUGAAAACAGAACCUUGCGUGUGUUUUGUCAUUUUGUUCCAGGGAAGCAGUUGACAAGUGCUGUUAUUAACGCUUUCUCCCAGAUGCAUUCAGUGAUGGAGGAGGAAAACGGGCUGGUUGGGUUGUGGUCUUGGUGCCUCGCAGUUACUCUGCACUGGUUAUGCAUUUAAUCUAGUUACCUUUGGCUAGUGGGUACUCCAUAGUCUGGGUUUUGUCCUUAAUCAGUUGUACCACCUAAGGCGACUGGAUGCAAAAUACAUUCUAUCCACUCUUAUCUGAGCCUUCCCCACCCUAGUCUUGGCACAUUCCUUCAAGAAUGUAGUUACCGUCUGCUUGGGAAGAUGUCAGUGCAAAUGUGAAGAAAAUGGACAUCGGACUAGGCUUUGGUUUGCCACAGUGGCAGCUGCCUAUAUCAAUUACAAUUACAUUUAUUAAUUUUGCUUUCCAUUUUUCCAGUUCCCCUCAGCUCCCCUCUGUUGAAAUGUUGGCUGUCAAGAGGCAACUGUGACGCUGCCUCUGGGACUUGUGGAGAAAGGGAGGGGAACUGCUCAGUAUAGUGUUUCACUUUCAGAACCAAGUAAUCUAGUCACUCAUAUUUAAGAAGUGUGUUAGUCUGACUUCAAGAGAAAUCCAAACUCCAUCAGCUUUUGAUAGCAUCUUGGUUUUCGAAACUUCAAUCUGUAAUUGGCAUUUAAAAUGCCCUUGGCAUGCCAGUCUGUGAUGGCAUUGAAGACCUGUUAAAACACUUGAGCCCAACUUUAUUAACCAAAACUGAUACCACCACCUUUAUCUUCUAAAUAAAGUCCGCUUUAUUUUUAUUUUCAA